rnacentral:tRNA from 1 species
GCUCACGGUAGGGUAAGCCGCCUCUCAGUGGGGGCGGCGGCGGUUCGAAUCCGCUCGUGAGCG